AUGGGUCAUCCGACACGGGUUCGGGAAAAUUCACACCAAGAAACGAACCCCCAGGCGGCGAUGAGCAUGGAUAUGAUCUUUAUCCCAUCCAUGGUGUCGUGGAAAAUGAGCACGGCGAAGAGGGGCACGAUGGGCAGCGACACGGUGCUGAUGACGUUGGAGAAGAGGGAGGAGACCUCGAAGACGAGCCCCACCACCCCGACGGAGGUGAUCUGCCAGGACACGGCCGUCCACACCAGCGUCAUGAAGUAG
rnacentral:rRNA from 1 species